GUCAAUGUGGUGUAGUGUUUUGGUGUUGGACUAUGACUCUGGAGACCAGGGUUCGAAUCCCUGUUUGGCCA
rnacentral:tRNA from 1 species